CCAGAAACUGCCGACCAGGCAUGGUGGCUCAUGCCUGCAGGAGAAUUGUGUGAACCCGGGAGGCGGAGAUUGUAGUGAGCCGAGGUAGUGACACUGCACUGCAGCCUGGGCGAUAGAGAGAGAUUCCGUCUUUAAAAAAAAAAACAAAAAAAAAACAAAGAAAACUAGAAAUUGCAGGUCAGCGCAAAAGAGAAACUUUAAGACAUCUGUAGAUUCUUCACUUGGCAAAAGUCACUUUCUUGUUUUUUGAUAUAUGAUCUGAAGGCUAUAACAUUCUACGUACCAUGUAAGCUACAUCCAGGAAUUUUCAUUGACAGUGUUUUCAUUAUCAUUCAAUUUAAAACAUUUUGUGGUUUCCAUUUUGAUCCCUUCUUUAAUUGAUG
rnacentral:lncRNA from 1 species